rnacentral:rRNA from 1 species
AUUGAACGCUGGCGGAAUGCUUUACACAUGCAAGUCGAACGGCAGCACGGACUUCGGUCUGGUGGCGAGUGGCGAACGGGUGAGUAAUGUAUCGGAACGUGCCCAGUCGUGGGGGAUAACGUAGUGAAAAUUACGCUAAUACCGCAUACGAUCUAUGGAUGAAAGCGGGGGAUCGCAAGACCUCGCGCGAUUGGAGCGGCCGAUAUCAGAUUAGGUAGUUGGUGGGGUAAAGGCCCACCAAGCCAACGAUCUGUAGCCGGUCUGAGAGGACGACCAGCCACACUGGAACUGAGACACGGUCCAGACUCCUACGGGAGGCAGCAGUGGGGAAUUUUGGACAAUGGGCGAAAGCCUGAUCCAGCCAUUCCGCGUGCAGGAUGAAGGCCCUCGGGUUGUAAACUGCUUUGUACAGAACGAAAAGGUUUCUACUAAUACUAGGAGCUCAUGACGGUACUGUAAGAAUAAGCACCGGCUAACUACGUGCCAGCCGCCGCAGUAA